UAUUCAAAUAGCAAAAACGACUAUUUAUAUUCGAGUUCCAAGUUCCGCGUUCUGAGUUCCGUGUUCCGAGUUUCGAGUUCCAAGGUCCAAGUUUUAAGGUCCGAGUUUCGCGUUCCGAACCCCAAGUUGCAAGUUCCUAGCUACGAGUUCAAAGAUCCGAGUUUCUUGUUCCCCUCUUAGAGUUUUUAGAUUCAAGUUUUUGUUACAUAUAAGUUUUUCUAUACAUUAGUCAUAAAACUUUCGAUACGAUAUGAGCGAAUGGCAACAUUAUUUUUGAUAAAGCCCAUCCUUUAACUUAAUUAUAUUAAGCGUAUAACAGAAACCGAUCUCAUCUCUGAUCGGAAAAAAUUCGAACACAAACCAGCUCGGUUUGACAGAAUUCGAGCAGAGGACGGCAAAUUCCUAUAGGGACGAAAAAAGAAAAAAUCCCGUCUGACAGAUUCAGUUCCGGGAGAAAAUUGAAUAGAGUCGGACGAAAAAGUUGUGACAGCGUGCCUGCUGUCGGGAAAAAAAACGCGUGUGCGCCGAGUUUCGGGCAUGAAUAGCCCUCGAGUGGGACAAAAAGAAGCUCGCGAUCCGCAACAGAGCGACAGCAUCGGAAAAAGCGGAUCAACAUCGCAUAAGCACACCACACAUUUUAUCUUCCGAUUCCGAGGUCCACCAACGGCCGAACAAGGAUCGGCGCCGAUACGAUAGGAGAAGCCAAAGAGGAAUCCUCCGCCACGUCUAUUUAAAUACCGGUCAGGAAAGGAAGUGACCAAAUUGUGUCCCGGAUUCGCAGGGCCCCUUUUUUAUUUCUACCCCAGUUAUUCAUCAUCACAUCGCUCCCACACGGCGAUUUGCUUCCGGCGGAGAGAACCUCCGAAGGAAGAACAUCGUCAGAUAAGGCAAGGUGGUGGUCAAGAUUAGCUGCCAGCAGAAACGACGGUGGAAUCAUCCACAGGGCGAAUUGGCAGCUUCAUUAGCAGGCAGUUGGCUGUACCAGUGGCAGCACAAGGGUGGCCACCAGCCACAUAUCGUAAUCAUCAGUUUCGUCCCCACUGCGCCAGCAGUUGCAACAUUCUUCAGCAAUCCUGUUUGGGAUUAUUCCGAUGCCUUAGCAGCACAAUUUAAGGCGGUUUCGGCAGGAUAAUCACCACCUGCGGUGCCAGCUGCACGUCUUCGACCCAUCGUCGAUCGAAUCAAUUGAGACAUCGGUCCCUGAGGUACUCGCAAUCCGCUGAGUCCGCAGCAGCAUCAGUCGAGGUGAUUGGUGUCUCCAGUUUAAACCAGCUUCUCACCACAUCAGCAUCCACCGUGGUUUUUCGGUUCGACCAUCAUUUCCGGGGCCCAAGUGCUACCGGUCGGUUUCUACCUCAGCAGGAUUUCCCAUGCCGCACUGUCAGCUGUGGCAAUCGUGGCCUGGUCGGCCGCACAACAUCAACGAAAGCGUAAACCGCGCUUAAUCAAGUAGACAGCUAGCAGCAAUGACGGUGGUGCCCAGACGCAUCAGCUCCAGCAACACAAGCUGCUUUCUGGUUUGCACCAUAGCAUCAGCAUUGGCGUUGGCCAGUGAACGUCACCGCAGCGCAGGCUGCUAUCCAACCGCAUUUUCUGAGAGACCAUGGCAUCACAAACUGGAUCUGACAAACACUGAAACGCGAACGCUCAACAUGGCUGGGCACGAUUACAGUAAAUAUUGGCUUCACAAGAUGCGACUAGCAGACAGCCCAAACUGCGAAAAAUGUGAUCAACCUGAAACCACAGAACACAUUAUAUUGAAUUGCAACCUAUACAACGACCUUCGAAAACAAUUCAACUUCGCUGGCAAAUUCAACCACAUCUCAGACUUACUCAAGGUAAAAGAAACAUUGCUUUUAAAAGAAAUUAUAGAAUUUCUUAAACUCUCCAAGAUGAACUUAUAAAACUAUUAGUAAAUCUUCCUAACGAAGCAAAACUCUGUACGAUAACGUAGCAACUAAACAAAUAAAGAACACCGCUGGAUAUGUGAUCACAGUCACCAAUCCAUUCGUAGAUUUCCACAAUCCACAAUUAAAACUAAGAAGAAGAAGUUCCGAGUUUCAACUACUGAGUUCCAAGCUCCGUGCUG